GCCCGGUUGGUGUAGUCCGGCCAAUCAUCCGGCCCUCUCGAGGCCGGGACCCGGGUUCGAACAGCUUCUUGCUAAGCUGGCA
rnacentral:tRNA from 1 species